GGUUUUAAAAAUGUAUAAAAUAUGUCGCAAGUUUUAAAUAUACAUGAUAAGCCGUACUACUUGUAUAUGUGGAAAUCCAAUUACAACCCUAUCUAAAAUAAGAAACAAUGAGUAGAGUUGAAGUUCCUUAAUCAAAUGAGUUUGUUUCUUCACCUUGUUCCUCCUUUCUUCUCAUAUGGACCUGUUUUCAUUUAUCUGUUAGAAAUUGGAAAAAUAGAAGUUAAUGUGAACAAAUGACGGUUGGAUUUAUUAAAAGGAUCCUCUUGCUAAAGAUCAGAACAAUAAAAGGACUAACAGGAUCCUCUUGCUAAAGAUCAGACCAAUAAAAGGACUAAUGGAAAGUUAGAAAAAUGACUUACGCAGUUGAAAACAUUAGGCAUUAUUAACCAAACAUGUAAAGUUUAUAUCAAAUUUUAUAUUAUGUGUGGUUUGAACUAUGGAUGAUAACAAUGAGAUAAUUGAACAUAUUUGUGGUUAAUGGACAGACAGUGUUUCAGAGAAAAGUCUCUCUAUCUUAACAUUCAACACACAAAAUUUUAAAUAUAAAGGAUUUAGCAUAUUUAAACAUGAUAAUUGCAUGAACUCAUUAGGCUUAAAAAAAUGGAUUCAAGUAGAUAGAAUAUUAAAAUUGAGAACAAAACAACAAAGUUGGAGUCAGUCGUUGGAAAAUGAAAGUUGAUUCCAUUGUUCCUCUACGUUCCUAUUAUAAAAAGUAACAACCCUUUUUUAUGACCAGUCCCAAAUUUUAGAUAAUGGACUUUGCUUAUCAAAUUCGUAUAUAUAGAUAACUUGCACGUUGCCAUGGGAAUGUGAAAUAGAUUAUCAGUAUUGUAUAUAACUGUUAGAAUAAUGGAUUAUAUGUGUUAUAAGCUUUGUGCGUAUAUAUGUAAAAACUAUUUACACAAAACAUGUACAACGCAAAAAUGCUGAUUACGAAUACAUGCUUACCUAUAUGACAAACAAAUGUGACGUCAAAUGCGUGAAAAAAGAGAAUCGCAUACUUAUUCCCAAUGUACUCAGAGAGCUUGAUCUGAAAUCCAAAACCAAAUCUUCAAUUUCAAUGAAACAAAGAGCUUAUAGUCAUUUGAAAGAUCUUCUAUAAGAAGCACUUAAACUUUCAAGCGCUUUUGCUAGAAAUGUUUUUACUUUAAACAUGUUUGAAGUUUCUAUCAAGGUCCAAAUGCUCCCUUAAAAAAACAUAGAAGUGCUUCUUGAAGCAUCUGACAUUAACAGAACACAAACUGAAAAAUGAAAAGCAAGUGACUUGUACAUGAAAUUAUGUUCACUCCAAAAACUACACUAUUCAACUUUAAAAUGCAGGAAAAAUGAAUGUUUUGAUACAAAUUUCAAAGAGGAUAAUUAAACUACAAAAACAUAAUUAUAAUGCAUGCAUCCGUACCUGGCAAUCAAGAAGGCAAUCAAGAAGCUGUUGCAAAGCAGGUAAUUGACUUAGUAAAUCUGUGCUAUCAAGACACAAAAAUCAGAGCAUGCUAAACUUUUUUGUGCAUUCAUUGGUUCAUUGUUAAAAAAAAAAAAUUGCAGAGAAGAGAUUUUUUACCUAAUUUUUCAGAAAUGAUGGUGCACCUGCAGCUGCUGCAGUCUUAUUCUGUGGAGUUUUUCAUGUUAUAAUCUCAAGUAGAAUUGACUUACAUACAGUUGUUAUAAAACAACAUUUGUAUAGCACAUAAGAAGAGAAUGCUUUGAAUGAUGAUAUAUUCUUCUCAAUAAGAGGAACUUAUAGGUGUACAACCCUAACAAAAAAGGAAAGAAAACUAAUUACAAGUGAUUACAUGGGAUUACAUAUCAAUUAGGGAUCCUACCUAAAAUACAAAAGUCAACACUCCCCCUCAAGUUGGUGCAUAUAUGUCGCUCAUGCCCAACUUGUGUAAGAAACUUGAAAUCUUGUGACUCGAAACAGCUUUUGUGAGGAUAUCUGCCAACUGAUCUUCUGUUCUUAUCGCCGGUACUUCAAUUAUUUUCUCUUCCAAAUUUUUCUUUGAUGAAGAACCGAUCAACUUCAACAUGCCUUGUUCUAUCAUGUUGUACCGGAUUAUGUGCAAUGUCACGAGCAGCUUUAUUAUCACAAAAUAAUUUCAUGGGCUGAUCAUGUUGUAUACCCAAAUCGCUUAACAGAAGCUUAAGCCACAAAAUUUCACAAAUCCCCAAAGCCAUACCUCUGUAUUCUGCUUCUGUACUGGAACGGGCAACCACAUUCUGUUUCUUACUUCUCCAUGUAACCAAGUUACCCCCAACAAACGUAAAGUAACCUGAUGUUGAACGUCUAUCAUCAAUGGAACCUGCCCAGUCUGCAUCAGUAUAACCUUCAACACUAAAGUGAUUAUUCCUCUUAAACAAAAUUCCUUUGCCUGGACUUCCCUUCAAAUAUCGCAAUAUUCUCAUCACAGCAUUCAUAUGUUGUUCUCCAGGAUCAUGCAUGUAUUGACUCACUACACUCAAGGCAUAAGCAAGGUCCGGUCUUGUGUGUGCCAAAUACAUCAAACGGCCUACUAACCUUUGGUAUCUUCCUUUGUCAACUGGUACUUGAUUAGGAUCACCACUAAGCUUCAAUCCUUCUUCUAAUGGUGUAGCUACUGGCUGACAAGCUGACAUGCUAGUUUCGUGCAACAAAUCAAUAAUAUACUUCCUCUGAGACAAGAAAAUUCCAGAACUGCUUCUCGACACCUCAAUCCCUAAAAAAUAUUUCAGGGAUCCAAGGUCCUUCAUUUCAAAUUAUGUAGACAGGUAUCUUUGCAAGGCCGCACGUUCUUCCAGAUCAUUACCUGUUACCACCAUAUCGUCUACAUACACAAUAAGUGCAGUAAGCUUCCCAUUCUGUCUUUUCAGGAACAAAGUAUGAUCAGAGUUACUUUGUCUGUAACCAAAUGCUCUCAUAGAUUUUGUGAAUCUUCCGAACCAUGCUCGAGGGGACUGCUUCAAGCCAUACAAGGAUUUCUUCAACCUGCACACUUUUCUUUUGUAUUUAUCUGGAGCAUUACAUCCCGGUGGAAGAUCCAUAUAAAUCUCUUCUGUCAAGUCUCCAUGCAAGAAGGCGUUCUUCACAUCGAACUGUUGUAAGGGCCAAUUAAGAUUUGCAGCCAAGGACAACAAAACACGAACUGUGUUGAUCUUGGCUACAGGUGCAAAUGUAUCUUUGUAGUCGAUUCCAUAUUUUUGAGUGUAUCCUUUUGCUACCAGUCUUGCCUUGAAACGAUCCACUGUCCCAUCUGCUUUGUAUUUCACAGUAUAGACCCAUUUGCAUCCCACAGGUUUCUUGCCAGCUGGCAAAUCUGUGAUUUCCCAGGUAGCAUUCUUCUUCAAAGACUUCAACUCUUCAUUCAUUGCUACUUGCCAACGUGGAUCAGUUAAAGCCUCCUGCACACUGUUAGGAAUAGAUACAGUAGAUAAUUGAUGCACAAACAACUUAUUUGAUUCUGACAGGUGACUGGUAGACACAUAAUUACUUAACGGGUAUAACACAUUAGACUCAGGGUUGGGCUUACUCACCGGAUGCCUAGUUUUGCAUUUAGGGUCGGCUUCAUAAGUAAGUUUAGGAAUACCUCGGUUGACGUGAUCAGGGAGACGACGUGGUGGUGGUGCAUCCGGGAUCGAAGACGAUUGAUUAUGGUUAUUGGGACUCAAGAUCGACUGUGAGGUAGCUGGCGACACAGGGUUGUCUGGUGGUGAGGAAACUGGUAGUGAGCUAUCAGGCAGUGAGUUAUCUGGCGAUGUCGACUCGUCCCUUUCAAGGUUUUCAACAUUGUUUCCAUGUGAAUGAUCACCACUUGUCUCCAAGACAUUACCACUUAAUUCCAAUUCAUUCACAUCAUUAUUUUCGUGUGAAUGAUCACCACUUAUUUCCAAGACAUCACCACUUAAAUCCAAAUCAUUCACUCUGUCUAUAUCUGGAAUAGUAUAAUCAAGAGUUUGAACUUCUUUCUGAUUCUCCCCCUGAAGUGAAGACUCGGGAUUGGCAAAGUACAUAUCAUUCUCAUGAAACGCAACAUCCAUAGUGACAAACAACUUAUUCGUCGAUGGGUGAUAACAACGGUAUCCUUUCUGCCUUGAUGCAUACCCCACAAACACACAUCGUAAGGCUCGAGGUUCAAGCUUACUUCGCUGUUGUUUAUGAAGAUGAACGAAGGCCACACAACCAAACACAUGAGGUGGAAGAUUAGGGACUGCAGGAGCAUCAACAUGUGAAGAAAGUGCCUGAAGGGGUGUCUGAAAAUCAACCGAUCGGGAUGGAACACGAUUAAUGAGAUACGCAGCUGAGGUGAGAGCUUCUCCCCAAUAGGAUAACGGGAGACGAGCCUCGAGUAAAGAAGCACGAACAACCUCCAGAAGCUGACGGUUCUUGCGUUCGGCAACCCCAUUUUGUUAUGGAGUAUAUGGACAUGUAGUUUGAUGAACAAUCCCAUGAUGAUCAAGAAAGGCACGAAGUUCAGAGUUAACAUAUUCGCCACCAUUAUCACUCCUGAGAACCUGUAUUUGCGACUUAUAUUGUACUUGUACCAUUUUGUAAAACUGUUGAAACAAAGAAGUAACUUCACAUUUGGAUUUCAUCAAACAAACCCAAGUCAUACGUGUGCAGUCAUCAAUAAAAGUAACGAACCAAUGAGCACCACCAAAUGUAGCAGUCUUAGAUGGACCCCAAACAUCAGAAUGAAUUAUCAUAAAUGGAACAGAACUUUUAUUCAAAUUGGAUGGAAACGAAGCACGAUGACUUUUAGCUAGUUCACAAACACCACAUUUAAAGCUAGAAACAUCAUGCUUAACAAAUAGGCUAGGAAACAACCUCCGUAGAUAGCCGAAAGAAGCAUGUCCAAGUCGACGAUGCCACAACCAAACCUCCGAAGCUUUAUUCCGAUCCCUCGGAUUUCCUUCCACUGCAAGAGCUUGAGUCAACAUUCGAGAACUGUUUGAUGUCAGCUCCAAGUAGUAGAGCUUCCCUUUCCUAAUACCAUAACCAAUCGUCUUACGAGUCCGAAUGUCCUUAAAAACACAAAAAGAAGGCCAAAAAAUCACAAGACAAUGCAGGACGACAGUUAUUUGAGCAACAAAUAAUAAAUUAUAGUCAAGAGAAGGCACAACAAGUACGGUAUCAAGACUAAGGGUAUCUGAAAGGGAGACGGUUCCUUCCCCGAUAACAGGGGCAGAAUUACCAUUGGCGACACUGACGACAGUUUUGGUGGAUGGUUUUAGGGUGUCUACCUGUCUAGAAUCACAAGUCAUAUGUUUAGUAGCACCAGAAUCAAUUAUCCAUGUAUUAUUCGUAACAGAGGUAGAAACCUUUAAAGCCUUACCAUUGUUACAUGUAUUAGCAGAAUCACAAGGCCAGACUGCCAUUCCCAAGCAAACUUCAAUCAAUAAGUCACUCGGUGAUUGAUAAAGCCCAAAUUUCCAAGCAAACCAAGCCCAAGAAUUUCACGGGCCAACAAGAAGGAUAGCCCAACAAAAAUAAUAAUAAUCUAUAAAAAAAAAACACAAUUUUGUCUUUCCUUGCCGUGUGGGCCUUAAUCAAACAACCAAUAUUUUUUUUUUUUUUAACACCACCAAAUCUCUUCCGUAUGAUUCCCCUUUUUCUUUUUCCUUUUACCUUUUCUGUUUUGUUUUCUUCUCACUUUGAAACAGCAGCAGUGGUAUGGUGGUUCAAGGCUCCAACAAGGAUAAUAGCAGCAAGGACAGAUUGCAGUUCAAGGUGCGAGACAAAGGUGCAACAGUGCUGUGGUGGAUUGGUCAGAUCAGCAAGUCGGAUGGGAGCAGGUUCGUGGGUCGUCGGACCUCGAGUCGGGUACAGCGCAGCAACACAAUUCAAUCGGGUUGCAGUCUGUGCAAUUUUUCACGGCUUCAGAUCAAAUCAGAAGCAAAUAGGCCAAUUGGUCUAUCGUGUCACACAACAGAGAGUUAAACGAUUCGAUGAAUUCGGAUCAGCAACGACAGCGUCGCUCGCUGUUCGUUUCGAAUUCAGAUAGGGUAGCAACGACACCAGUCGCUCGCUGAUCGAGGUCGACGCACCACACACGGUUGAGCCGCAACAGUGCUAUCGCAGCUAUGGGUUUUUUUUCCUUUUUUUUUUUCGACCUGGCUCUGAUGCCAAGAAGAGAAUGCUUUGAAUGAUGAUAUAUUCUUCUCAAUAAGAGGAACUUAUAGGUGUACAACCCUAACAAAAAAGGAAAGAAAACUAAUUACAAGUGAUUACAUGGGAUUACAUAUCAAUUAGGGAUCCUACCUAAAAUACAAAAGUCAACAACAUAUACUAAGAUUUACUCACAUUCUUAGUUGUGAGUUAUUGAUUUGGUAUUUUUAAUCAAUUUUUACAUACAAUUAAUAUAUAGAUUGUAGAUUUACACUCGUUGUUCUUUCCUAAAUUUCUAUUCUCAGUUUUUUAUUUAUUAUUAAUUCAUAAAAAAAAACAAUUUCUUUUUUAAAAUGAAAAUAAGGCGGAGAAUGCAGUAAAUAACAUAUUCACUGGGGUAAGAAAACUAAAAUCAAAUAAGUUACUCAAUGCAUCAACAAAUAUAGUAAAUCUAAUUAUCCAUGAGUUCCAAAAAAACUGAAGCAUGUAAUAAUGUUGAAAAGCAUACUAUCUAUUUAGUCAGAUCACAAACAAUCCCAUGAUAUCUCACAAUAUCAUGAGGGCAUAAACACAAGCAAUUAUCAAGAAGAACACAUAACUAUUAACCCACUCCUCCACCGCUUGACCCCUUUGAUCUACAAAACCAAACAAAAAUUUUCAACCAAAAAUAACUAAUUUAACAAAGCAAAUACAUUAUACAAAAACAAAUAUUCAAUUUAGCUUCAUUUAGAUUACAGGAAGUCCAUUCAAACAACCAAAAGGAUAUAAAUAAAAAUAUUCAAGAACCAACCUUCUUCAAAGAUCACUGGUUCUAGCGUUCAAACCCAAAAACUGAAGACGAUUACUUGAAUUAAAUGAAAAUGAAAAUAUAAUUAAUUUACUCUUAACCAUGGUUUUUUUCAAGAAUCAGAAAAAUCUAAAAAUAUCCCAAACAAUCCCAAAUUUUGGAACUGCUUUAAGCCAACUUAC
rnacentral:lncRNA from 1 species